AUUAUUUGAGGUGGUAAAUUUCGUUGCAACCACACACCCUAUGGAUUAAAAGAGAUGCAGGAGCCGCGACGCCUGCCAAAUAAU
rnacentral:ncRNA from 1 species